GUUUACUGUCAAUACCCUAAUGGCACCAAACCAUCUGAUCUUGGAAUCUAAGCAUGGUCAAUCCUGGUUAGUACUUGGAUGGGAGACCACCAACAAAUAACAAGUGCUGUGGCCA
rnacentral:rRNA from 1 species